rnacentral:tRNA from 1 species
GACGUGUUAGCUUAAUGGUAGAGUAGUGUGCUACGGACACAUUUAUGUAAGUUCAAGUCUUACACACGUUU